AGAGUUUGAUCAUGGCUCAGAACGAACGCUGGCGGCAGGCCUAACACAUGCAAGUCGAACGCUCCGCAAGGGGAGUGGCAGACGGGUGAGUAACACGUGGGAAUCUUCCUAUUGGUAUGGAAUAGCUCAGGGAAACUUGGGGUAAUACCGUAUAAGCCCGAGAGGGGAAAGAUUUAUCGCCAAUAGAUGAGCCCGCGUCUGAUUAGCUAGUUGGUGAGGUAAUGGCUCACCAAGGCGACGAUCAGUAGCUGGUCUGAGAGGAUGAUCAGCCACACUGGGACUGAGACACGGCCCAGACUCCUACGGGAGGCAGCAGUGGGGAAUAUUGGACAAUGGGCGCAAGCCUGAUCCAGCCAUGCCGCGUGAGUGACGAAGGUCUUCGGAUUGUAAAGCUCUUUUGGCGGGGACGAUAAUGACGGUACCCGCAGAAUAAGCCCCGGCUAACUUCGUGCCAGCAGCCGCGGUAAUACGAAGGGGGCUAGCGUUGUUCGGAAUCACUGGGCGUAAAGCGCACGUAGGCGGAUUUGUUAGUCAGGGGUGAAAUCCCGGGGCUCAACCUCGGAACUGCCUCUGAUACUGCAGAUCUCGAGUCCGAUAGAGGUGAGUGGAAUUCCUAGUGUAGAGGUGAAAUUCGUAGAUAUUAGGAAGAACACCAGUGGCGAAGGCGGCUCACUGGAUCGGUACUGACGCUGAGGUGCGAAAGCGUGGGGAACAAACAGGAUUAGAUACCCUGGUAGUCC
rnacentral:rRNA from 1 species